rnacentral:rRNA from 1 species
CCUACGGGUGGCAGCAGUGAGGAAUAUUGGUCAAUGGACGAGAGUCUGAACCAGCCAAGUAGCGUGAAGGAUGACUGCCCUAUGGGUUGUAAACUUCUUUUAUAUGGGAAUAAAACGUUCCACGUGUGGGCUUUUGUAUGUACCAUAUGAAUAAGGAUCGGCUAACUCCGUGCCAGCAGCCGCGGUAAUACGGAGGAUCCGAGCGUUAUCCGGAUUUAUUGGGUUUAAAGGGAGCGUAGGUGGAUUGUUAAGUCAGUUGUGAAAGUUUGCGGCUCAACCGUAGAAUUGCAGUUGAAACUGGCAGUCUUGAGUACAGUAGAGGUGGGCGGAAUGCGUGGUGUAGCGGUGAAAUGCUUAGAUAUCGCGCAGAACCCCGAUUGCGAAGGCAGCGUACCGGCUCCACACUGACGCUGAGGCACGAAAGCGUGGGUAUCGAACAGGAUUAGAUACCCUUGUAGUC